AUACGGAGGAUCCGAGCGUUAUCCGGAUUUAUUGGGUUUAAAGGGUGCGCAGGCGGCCAUUUAAGUCAGCGGUUAAAUCGUGGGGCUCAACCCCAUUCUGCCGUUGAUACUGGGUGGCUUGAUUGCGGUCGAGGUUGGCGGAAUUCGUUGUGUAGCGGUGAAAUGCAUAGAUCUGACGAAGAACACCGAUUGCGUAGGCAGCUGACCAGACCGCAAAUGACGCUCAUGCACGAAAGUGCGGGGAUCGAACAGGAUUAGAUACCCUGGUAGUCCGCACAGUAAACGAUGAAUACUUGUUUUCGGCGAUAUAAUGUCGGAGGCAAAGCGAAAGCGAUAAGUAUUCCACCUGGGGAGUACGCCGGCAACGGUGAAACUCAAAGGAAUUGACGGGG
rnacentral:rRNA from 1 species